rnacentral:misc_RNA from 1 species
AAGUCGUAACAAGGUUUCCGUAGGUGAACCUGCGGAAGGAUCAUUACCGAAUUGUCGACAUGAAGUUGUUGCUGGCCCUCAGAAGGGGGCAUGUGCACGCUCUGUUUACACAUCCACUCACACCUGUGCACUCUCUGUAGUUCUAUGGUCUGGGGGCACUCAGCCCUCCUACUGUGGUUCUGCGUAUUUACACACACACGCUGUAAUAAAGUCUUAUGGGAUGUAUUUCGCGUUUAACGCAAUGCAAUACAACUUUCAGCAACGGAUCUCUUGGCUCUC